rnacentral:rRNA from 1 species
UAGGAGGCGGGAGAGGUGGACGGUACUCCACGUGUAGGGGUAAAAUCCUUUGAUCCGUGGAAGACCACCAGUGGCGAAGGCGGUCCACCAGAACGCGCUCGACGGUGAGGGAUGAAAGCUGGGGGAGCGAACCGGAUUAGAUACCCGGGUAGUUCCAGCCGUAAACGAUG